UCCUGUCUGCCCUUGAUGGAGCCACUGGUGGGGUUACUUGCUGGCGGUCGGCCACUUUCGCCCCUCCCUCGCCAGCCCGCCAGCUCCCUAAGGUUUUGUGGUUUUUUUGUCACCACCAGUGAGGACGUCCCCCCAGCAAAUGUAUUGGACGGAAGGAAACGGUGUGCGGGAGGAGGCGGAGGAAAGUAGGCCACCCGGGGCUCAAGUGAGAACAAGCACCAAGCCCUGUGGAUUUCAGAAGAACUCCACCUCCACGGAGUCCUCAAAGAUCUUCUCCUGAACUCCACACUCCCCAGCCUUGAGAGGAGACACAGGAGCUGGAGGAAGCAGCUUUAUCCCUCACUUUGUGGUUCAGUCCAGCCUGUUUUCCAAGGAGUAAAGGGCAGUGGAAGGAUAACUAAGAAAAUAAUAAUAACAAAUGAAAGCAUCUCUGUGGA
rnacentral:lncRNA from 1 species